UCAGGUAAACAUACUCUUUAAGCCAGCAGCCUAGCUUUCUCCUUUGCGCUCAUACAACUUAGGUCAUCCCACCGCGGAUUGAACCUCUUGUGUUCGCAGUUUGGCUACCCAUAAAUGAGAUAAACUUCUCCUGCCUGUAGUUUAUCCUUAACCUAGGAUUAAACUUUCUCCUCCUCGUACUCUGACCUGCACAUGGGAUUACUCUUGUUUUCUCACCCUGAGGGGAGAACUACGUCGACCUGAUCUCCUGUUCAAUAGGAGUACGUAGGUAACCAUUUC
rnacentral:lncRNA from 1 species